rnacentral:rRNA from 1 species
UACAGAGGUCCCAAGCGUUGUUCGGAUUCAUUGGGCGUAAAGGGUGCGUAGGCGGCGCGGUAAGUCGGGUGUGAAAUCUCGGAGCUUAACUCCGAAACUGCAUUCGAUACUGCCGUGCUUGAGGACUGGAGAGGAGACUGGAAUUUACGGUGUAGCGGUGAAAUGCGUAGAUAUCGUAAGGAAGACCAGUGGCGAAGGCGGUCUGCUGGGCCGUUGCUGACGCUGAUGCGCGACAGCGUGGGGAGCAAACAGG